rnacentral:rRNA from 1 species
GAUGAACGCUGGCGGCGUGCCUAAUACAUGCCAGUCGAGCGAACGGACGAGAAGCUUGCUUCUCUGAUGUUAGCGGCGGACGGGUGAGUAACACGUGGAUAACCUACCUAUAAGACUGGGAUAACUUCGGGAAACCGGAGCUAAUACCGGAUAAUAUUUUGAACCGCAUGGUUCAAAAGUGAAAGACGGUCUUGCUGUCACUUAUAGAUGGAGCCGCGCUGCAUUAGCUAGUUGGUAAGGUAACGGCUUACCAAGGCAACGAUGCAUAGCCGACCUGAGAGGGUGAUCGGCCACACUGGAACUGAGACACGGUCCAGACUCCUACGGGAGGCAGCAGUGGGGAAUCUUCCGCAAUGGGCGAAAGCCUGACGGAGCAACGCCGCGUGAGUGAUGAAGGUCUUCGGAUCGUAAAACUCUGUUAUUAGGGAAGAACAUAUGUGUGAGUAACUGUGCACAUCUUGACGGUACCUAAUCAGAAAGCCACGGCUAACUACGUG